rnacentral:rRNA from 1 species
GUAUGCAGCCAUAGCACACUGAGAACGCCACAUCUCAUCUGAUCUGGGAAGCUAAGCAGGGUCGGGCCCGGUCGGUACUUGGAUGGGAGACCAGCUGGGAAUAGCGGGUGCUGUGGGCU